rnacentral:rRNA from 2 species
UGGGGAAUAUUGCACAAUGGGCGAAAGCCUGAUGCAGCGACGCCGCGUGAGGGAAGAAGGUUUUCGGAUUGUAAACCUCUGUCUUCGGGGACGAUAAUGACGGUACCCGAGGAGGAAGCCACGGCUAACUACGUGCCAGCAGCCGCGGUAAAACGUAGGUGGCAAGCGUUGUCCGGAAUUACUGGGUGUAAAGGGAGCGCAGGCGGAUUGGUAAGUUGAAUGUGAAAACUAUGGGCUUAACCCAUAGAUUGCGUUCAAAACUACUGGUCUUGAGUAAUGUAGAGGUAGGCGGAAUUCCCGGUGUAGCGGUGGAAUGCGUAGAUAUCGGGAGGAACACCAGUGGCGAAGGCGGCCUACUGGGCAUUUACUGACGCUGAGGCUCGAAAGUAUGGGGAGCAAACAGG